UAAAAGGUUUCUGCACUUUGAUACAAUUCAUGCUCCUUGCUAAAAGAAAAACCUGUAACUCUAAUGCCCAAAGAGGAAGCAAAAGGAGGAAGCUGCAGGUGGACAGCCUAAUCAAGACUGAAAAAACGAUGACGGCAGCAAAGGCACCAGCAGGCAAGACUAAAGUUUAUGAGGCACUGUUCUGGUGCAGCCCAUUUGGGGAAGCAGUCCAGCUAGGACCCCAAAAGAACAGAGUGUUCCAAGGGAAAAGACUGCACACAUUGCACCCUCUGGUCUCAGUCCCUCUGCCUCCAGCUUCAGAGCCCAGUUGGAAAGAUGACAGAAAAGGAAAACUAAAAGACACAUAAGAACUGAAAGAAUUUUCUGCCAAGAGAUGCUACCCAGCAGGGAGCAUGGAGUGGAGCACAAAGAUGGAAUCCUGUCAAGCCCAGAGGUGUUCCCUCCUCCUCCCAGAGGGAUUGUCGUGCAGAAGGCUCUGCAAGCAGCGAGAUUUCCCCAGCUUGACAGAUGGGCUGCUCCCAGCAGAGUUUCCACAACUGCACAUGGGGUUAUCUGCAUGCUACCGGACUACAAGGGAUGGGAUUGUUUUGCAGAAAUACUCCCCUCCUUUUGAAUGGUGCGGAUCUGCCCCCUGGGAACACAAGCGAUGCAGCAAACAGAGAUCUCUUGCUUGCAAUAUCAGCUAGUUAUCACAAGCGAAUCAGAGGAAAGGACAAGAGCGAGGACAACAUUAAAAAUACAUGGGAGGACUGACAGUCCAGGGAAACAACUCUUCAGCUUAGGGAAAAAAUAGCCCUCUUCAGCCUCCAUCACUCAGACAUCCUGUGGUAAGACUGAUAUGAGUCAGGCAAGCCCUUCCCUGGAUUCAUAAGGUCACAGGGAAAAUACUGAUUCAAAGACAACAGGAAGAUAACACUGGUUGCUACUAGGAACUUUUCCCCCCCUUAAAGGGCCAGACAGCCAUGUCUCCGAUGGGAUUUAAGAUCAGGGAAGUACAUGGUUGCUCGAGAAGUAUUUAUCUAGCUAUCUUUAACUCAUUUUUACAAAUUCCCCAAACUGAUGGGAUCAAGCAUCCACACAAUGAUGUACAAUGCAAAAAAAAAAAAAAUUAAAAUUAAAAUCAGUAACAUAAGAACUAAAAUAUACAAACAAAACAUUUGUAUUCUAU